rnacentral:rRNA from 1 species
UACGUAGGGGGCGAGCGUUGUCCGGAGUUACUGGGCGUAAAGGGCGCGCAGGCGGUCUGGCAAGUUUGGAGUGACAGUGCUCGGCUUAACUGAGCAAGGCCUUCGAAAACUGCUAGACUUGAGCACUCAAGAGGGACAUAGAAUUCCGGGUGGAGUGGUGAAAUGCGUAGAUAUCCGGAGGAACACCGACGGCGCAGGCAGCGUCCUGGCCGCUUGCUGACACUGAGGCACGAAAGCUGGGGGAGCAAACAGG